GGAAAUAUGAGUACAUUUUGAUGAAACUGAAGAUCUCCAACUUCUAAAUUAUGCUGCAUUUUUCUUGCCAGUAGGAGCAACCCUUCUUCUCCUACCUGAGAAUAUUAGAUUCUCUCCUGCCUCUACUGAUGUAUUUACAAGGGACUGAUUAUCCUCAUCAGGAGCUUCUCCCAAAUACCUGCCAUCGCUUCUAGACCUAUUACUAAACUGAAGUUGCAGGCUCCAGAGAGCAAGUCUACAGGAUAUCAGAAUUCUAAGAAAAACUUGGAAAUCAUGUUCAGGACUAUACAGGACUUUAAAAGCUUUAUCUUCCCAAACUGAAAACCAGACCUCUCAAGUCUAGCUGCUCUCCUCCAGGUGCUGCAUAAAUGGACCUGGUCUUUGGCUACCUUACUUUGGAUCACUUGGUUGAAACAGUUCCCUUAGUCAACUUGUCCACUGGACUUAAGCUGUGGGACACAGAAAUUUUCCCUGGAAGAACAGAACAAUGAAGAUGAAUAGUUGAAAAAUGAGGCUAUACAAGCAUGAUGACAGUACCUGCUCGGCUUCUGGUGAGCUUUUACUCAUGGCAGAGAGCAAAGUGGAAGCAGUAAGUCACAAAGUGAAAGCAGGAGCAAGGAAGGGGGAAGUGCCACACUUUUAAACAACCAGAUCACUUGAGAACUCAUUUACUGUCAUGAGGACAACACCAACUCAUGAGAGAUCCUCCCCUACAAUCCAAACACCUUUCACCAGCCUCAUCUCCAACAUUGGGUAUUACAUUUCAACAUGAGAUUUGGGCAGGGACAAAUACCCAAGCUCUAUCAUUCUGCCUCUGGCACCCCCAAAUCUCAUGUCCCUCUCCCAUUGCAAAAUAAAAUCACGCCUUCCUAAUUGUUCCCCAGGUCUUAACUUAUUCCAGCAUCAAUUCAAAAGUCCAAAGUCCAAAGUAUGCUCAGAUAUCACAAUUUCCUUCUGCCUAUGAGCCUAUAAAAUAAAAAACAAAUUAUUUAUUUUCAAGAUACAAUAGGAAUACAGGCAUUGUAUAAACAUUCCUAUUCCAAAAAUGAGAAAAGAAAGGGGCUACAGUCCCCAUUCAAGUUCAAAACCCAGCAGGGUAGCUGUUACAUCUUAAAAGGUCCAAAAUAAUCUCCAUUGACUCCCUUUCCCAUAUCAAAGGCACUUCUGCAAGUCUCAGAGUCUAAAGGCUGAAAAACCUGGAGUCUGAUGUCCAAGGGCAGGAGGAGAGGAAGCAAGCAUCUGACAUGGAAAGAAAGUGGGAGCCAGAAGACUCAGCAAGCAAGACUACCCCCAUGACUUCUUCCACCUAGGUCUUCCUCUUCCAGUCCACUGACCCAAAUGUAAAUUUCCUUUGGCAACAUCCUCACAGACACACCCCAAAACAAUACUUUGCCAGCCAUCUAGGAAUCCUUUAAUCCAGUCAGGAUGACAACUAAUGUUAACCAUCACAGCAUUUUCUAAAGAGAAUCCUGCAUUCUAAAGGAUCUAGUCUGGAUGCCAGGAGCUGUGUAUAGGAUGAGAGCCUGGUGGACCUGAUUGACCGCCUGUUGUUCAGUUCAGUUCAGAGACUGAAAAUCAGGAUUUGUGCUGGAGAGUCUUUGAACUGUGUGUGAAAGUAUCUGAAGGUCCAUGACAAUUUGAAAGAGAAGGCAUAUGAAAAAGGUGCAGGAAUCGAAGGCACGAGAUACACCUGAAAGUGGUGGAGCAAUGAAUCUGAACAGGAUGAUGGAUUGAAAGUGCUCAAAAGAGGCAGCUAGGAUCCUGUAUUCAUGUCCUACCACUGCAGCCAGGGAAAGAUCCUCCCACAUCUAUCAGAAGACUGGAGGAUUAUGUCUGGAGAGAUUGAAUUCUAGGGAUGCUCAGGCCCAAAUGAAGGUUUGAGCACACAAUGAAAUGAGUUGAUAUUGACUGUUGGGAACCAGAGUUCUCAGUGGAUGAAGAGACACAGAAAAAUAAAAUGAAGGAAGGCAAAGAAGAUCUCUGAAGAGAUGGAUUGGAAUUGGAAGCAUUAGUAUGAACCAUGAUUCUAAAAUAGUUAUAUAUUGAUGUCUAUGCUUGUAUAUAUCCAGAAGUUUAUGUAUGUAUGUUUAAAUGUGUGUGUAAUAUAUAUGUAUACAUAUAUGUACACAUGUAUAUAUUUCCUAGCUUUGUCUACUGAAAGGGUCCACAAGCAAAAUCUUGUAGCGGAUCUUGGUCUCUAAGAUUGUUCCCUGUUAAAAAAAAAACAGGAUCCGUUGGAGAAAUUGCUGAUUCCAGUGCUGUAGCAGAAAAGGUAAUACAUGAUCCUAAAAUCAGUAGUCUCAUUCUGUUAGAUUACUGUGGGGUUCAGUAUGGUAGCCACUAGUCUCUUGUGCUAUUUAUUUAUUUAUUUUUAUUAUUAUGCUUUAAGUUCUAGGGUACAUGUGUACAGCAUGCAGGUUUGUUGCAUAUGUAUACAUCUGCCAUGUUGGUGUGCUGCACCCAUUAACUGGCAAUUUACAUUAGGUAAAUCUCCUAAUGCUAUCCCUGCUCCCUCCCCCAACCCCAUGUCAGGCCCCAGUAUGUGAUGAUCCUCAUCCUGUGUCCAAGUGUUUUCAUUGUUCAGUUCCCACCUGUGAGUGAGAACAUGCAGUGUUUGGUUUUCUAUCCUUGCGAUAGUUUGCUCAGAAUGAUGGUUUCUAAUUUCAUCCAUGUCCCUACAAAGGACAUGAACUCAUCCUUUUUUAUGGCUGCAUAGUAUUCCACGGUGUAUAUGUGCCACAUUUUC
rnacentral:lncRNA from 10 species